rnacentral:lncRNA from 1 species
CCCACACAGAUGGGAUUUGGGCAUAGGUUUGGUUUCCCAGGGGGCAGUGCUGAGCUCUUUGCCAGUGGGAAAUGGGAUGCUGGUGAUUUCCAGUAGGUGACCUCACAGUGACUCAAGCUACCACUUACUGUUGAUUGUGACGAAAUGCCAGCUGAGGCACAUGCCUUGGGAGCUAAGUGGUUGCUGCCCUUGACCACUGUGAAGACUGGUGUGGGAAGGGUCGUUUUGGAUGCACUUGAGCAGGGGUCCCCAACCCCUGAGCCAUGGAGCCGCAAGGAGCCACACAGCAGGAGGUGAGCGGUGUCGAGUGAGGGAGUGAGGGAAGCUUCGUCUGUAUUUACAGCCACUCCCCUUUGCUCACAUUCCCACCUGAGCUCCACCUUCUCAGAUGAGCAGCAGCGUUAGAUUCUCAUAGGAGAACGCACCCUGUUGUGAACCGUGCAUGUGAGGGAUCUAGGUUGCGCUGUCCUUAUGAGAGUCUAAUACCUAUUGAUCUGUCACUUUCUCCCAUCACGCUCAGGUGGGAACAUCCAGUUGCGGGAAAACAAGCUUAACACGCCCACUGAUUCUACAUUAUGGGUCUCCCUCUGUUGUCCAAGGCUG